rnacentral:rRNA from 1 species
AUGGCCUCAUCCGCCGCCGCCUCCUCUCCCCUCUCUGGCCAGAUCACCGAGCGCCUCACUCGCACCAACUAUGUCCUAUGGCGCACUCAGAUCACGCCGCAGCUGAGAGGAGCUGGAGUCUUCGGGUACGUUGAUGGAAGCACGGCGGAGCCGGCCGAGUUCGUCGUCAGCAAGGACAAGGAUGGAAAGGAGGAAACCAUCCCAAAUCCACUCCAUGCCGUCUGGUUCCGAGAGGAUCAGCAGGUACUCCGUUAUCUUCUGAAUAACCUGUCCAAAGAGGUGCUAGUGCAGGUCACCUCCAUCGCGCAUGCACGCGAGCUCUGGACGGCGCUGGCGAGCAUGUUCUCGUCGACGUCGUUGUCCCGCAUCAAACAACAUCCGCGCCGCCCUCACCAAUGCGCAGAAAGGAACGCAAUCGGUGGCCACCUUCUUCGCACACAUGCGGGGACUCGCUGA